GUCCAUUGACUUGGACAAUUUUUGACAUUUGACCUC
rnacentral:rRNA from 1 species